AGAGUUUGAUCCUGGCUCAGAUUGAACGCUGGCGGAACGCUUUACACAUGCAAGUCGAACGGUAACGCGGAGAGAAGCUUGCUUCUCUCCGGCGACGAGUGGCGAACGGGUGAGUAAUACAUCGGAACGUGUCCGCUCGUGGGGGACAACCAGCCGAAAGGUUGGCUAAUACCGCAUGAGUUCUACGGAAGAAAGAGGGGGACCCGCAAGGGCCUCUCGCGAGCGGAGCGGCCGAUGACUGAUUAGCCGGUUGGUGAGGUAACGGCUCACCAAAGCAACGAUCAGUAGCUGGUCUGAGAGGACGACCAGCCACACUGGGACUGAGACACGGCCCAGACUCCUACGGGAGGCAGCAGUGGGGAAUUUUGGACAAUGGGCGCAAGCCUGAUCCAGCUAUUCCGCGUGUGGGAUGAAGGCCCUCGGGUUGUAAACCACUUUUGUAGAGAACGAAAAGACACCUUUUAAAAAAGGGUGUUGCUGACGGUACUCUAAGAAUAAGCACCGGCUAACUACGUGCCAGCAGCCGCGGUAAUACGUAGGGUGCGAGCGUUAAUCGGAAUUACUGGGCGUAAAGGGUGCGCAGGCGGUUGAGUAAGACAGAUGUGAAAUCCCCGAGCUUAACUCGGGAAUGGCAUAUGUGACUGCUCGACUAGAGUGUGUCAGAGGGAGGUGGAAUUCCACGUGUAGCAGUGAAAUGCGUAGAUAUGUGGAAGAACACCGAUGGCGAAGGCAGCCUCCUGGGACAUAACUGACGCUCAGGCACGAAAGCGUGGGGAGCAAACAGGAUUAGAUACCCUGGUAGUCCACGCCCUAAACGAUGUUAACUAGUUGUUGGGAAGUAAAAUUCUCAGUAACGCAGCCAACGCGAGAAGUUAACCGCCUGGGAAGUACGGUCGCAAGACUAAAACUCAAAGGAAUUGACGGGGACCCGCACAAGCGGUGGAUGAUGUGGAUUAAUUCGAUGCAACGCGAAAAACCUUACCUACCCUUGACAUGUCAGGAAGCUCUUGUAAUGAGAGCGUGCCCGCAAGGGAGCC
rnacentral:rRNA from 1 species